rnacentral:sRNA from 1 species
UGAUAACGAUCGUUCCUCAUCUGUUUUGA